rnacentral:lncRNA from 1 species
AUGGGGCCAAAGGAGAGAGAGGAGACUCCAGCGGAGGGUACUCGUACCCUGGCCCUCCUGGGCCUCCUGGACCUCCUGGACCUCCUGGGAAUCCAGGAUAUACUUUCAACAGUAACACGGGCCAUGACGACUACUCCAGGCACUCUUCAGGAACAGCAGCCAAAGGAGACAAAGGUGACCGCGGAGAGCCAGGUUUCCCAGGUCUUCCAGGUACUCAUAUCUUUACCAAAAAAUCUUUGUCAGAGCAGACCAACUGAUUCCUACCUUUCAUUUUCCAGGAGAAGGCUCUCAGUUGGACAUCUACGCACUGAGGGUACGGCACACAUACAUGCCAGCCAUGUAGU